UGGCUUGCCUUCAUCUCCGUUUUUUGAGCUUAAGGGAUGAAGGUGUUCUUGAAAGUCUUAUAACUAGUCUGAAAUGAAGGUGAAACCAGGACUGAGAUUUCACAGUAGCUGCUCCAGCACUCUGUCUGCCUCGUAAGACCUGCCCUUGUCUCUCCGCUUGUGGGUUGUGAGAACCAGGGCUGGUUUUGUCUAUAGGGUGGCUUUGCAAAGGGAAACAGUCAUUACAGCAAAAUUCUGAUUCUUCUCCCCAAGAAUCCUCUGCGAACUUCUCUGUGAAGAAAGGACAAGCCAUGCAAGGACUCAGUGAGAUGUCUUAUAUACACACAGAAAAACACACAACGCAAAGUUAAGUUUAUUGAAUCACUAGAAAACAGAGAAUUACACGACACUGCCAGCACCAUGGAGGCUUUCUGCGCUGCCUGGAGAAGCUGUGUAGGUGUGAGACAGGAUCCUGGCUGGAUGUACUGCUGUCACUGUUGUGAAAUUCUUAAUAAUUUAUGAACAAGGGACCCUAUAUUUCAUUUUGCACUGGCCUAUAAAUUAUGUUUCUGGUCAUGCGCCUACCUAGUCAUGCCGCCUCCUCCAAAGUAACCUUUACCUAACUUUGAUGGGCUAACUCUUCUGUAUAGUUUUAUCACCACAGUAUGAUAUGUUAUGGUUUAUUUUACUUCUGAA
rnacentral:lncRNA from 1 species